AUUAAUACUAUAAAUAUCAUAUGCAUUAAUAUGGUUAAACAAUACAAAAGCAACAUAAAACAAUUUUCCCGAGAAAAGGGGUGAAUCUGCUUUGUGCCCUGUCUCCAGUCUCCUCCUGGUGCCCCCCCCCCACUCCCAGUGGUCUGUUCUAUAAUGCCUCAAUUCGGUAUUGGUAAACACCUGUUUGAACAUGGCCUCGAAACGGCAACAGGAGUCGGGAGCGGAGAAAAGAAAGAAGAAGAGGAAGCGUGAUGAAACUCAGGCGUCGCUUGCCGGUAAGGCAAUGUUUAAAUAAUAACAAUAAAAAAAGUUCAUUAUUGUAGCCCUUGCUUGCACGCUCAUGUCCGUCAACUCUGUGAUAGCUCCUGUUAGCAGUGUUCAUACUGUGUUAACAAAUGUUGCAAAUGAUUGAUGUUGGGUAGUUUGUUUACGUUGUGGAUAUGAAUAUAGAAUGGACUACUAAAAGCAACUCAUCAUGGUCACUCAAUUGACGGUUUUCAGAUAACGUUAGCAAUCGUGAGACUAGCAUUUCCCUCCUCAGGUUGCUAGCUGGCUAACGUCAUGCAUGCUACUGAUUAACCUUAACUUUGGGAUAGGUCAGUGAUGCAGUCAAGUAUUAUUAUCAGAUUAGACAAGAUUACUUUGUAUGUUGCUGCAUUUCAGGAUAUCUAUAAAGACGCAUAUCUUAUUUAUGCGGCAUAAAUAAGAUAUAGGUUUCAUAUUACAGUGUAAUAUGAAACCUAUAUCUUCCAGUAAUAUAGAUUUCCUACUUGCGCAUUUAUAUCAAAUUAUGUACAGCAUGUUUAUAUUGCCAUUUGCCAUUAUGAAAAUCUAUACAUGUAAAAUAUAGUUAGUAAUUUUUAAAUGUACCAGUGACUUACUUAAUUUAUUAGUCUUAUAAUGCAAUUUUUCGUAGGCCUACUGUAGAUUCAAAAUUGUAUUUCUGUAAAAUCCCUGAAUAUUUUCUCUUGUAUGCAGGGUCAAUGCUUAAAUAUGUUCAAGGAGGAUCUCAAGGACAGGAUGAACCAUCCAGUAGUAGUGCCAUCCCUGGACAUCAACCACCAGCCAUUGUAGACCCUGCAACAAUCCCUAGCCAAGAAGAACAAGAACCAUCAACCACCAGUUCAGAAAACAUUCAUCACAGACGAAGGCGCACGAGGCGGAAGAGCACAGCGUUGAUAAGUUCCCAGACAACAACGUGAGAGAACAGCGCUUAAAAUAAGGCUAUCUACCUCUGAUUAGUUCACAGAGUAGGAUUUUCUGACUCACAGGCUGUUUGUCAUAGACUCCCACCGGGGCUGUCCACCACCAGAUCUCAGAGCAUGAAAAAAAUGUUCUUUCAUUUUGACUUACAUUACACCCCUGACUACCAGCGGUACCUGAACAUCCUAAAACAUGUGUAGGCUGCUGCAGCUGUUGCUUUGUACAAAAGUGGGUUAACUACCACUGACACACGGAGAACAAGAGGGGCAGGAGUUAGUGAGUGUUGUUUCAGUUGCUAGACAACUGCAGAGUAAAUAAAUUGCAGAGUAAAAAAACGGCACCGGUCCACAGCACGAGGCCUGUCUGAGAUCUCUUGGGGAUCAUGAAAAAGGGGAAUGACUAGCGAGGGAUAACAUGAGCUGUCCCUAGCCUUGUUACACACCACAGCUGGGCCGGAAUUCAGGCCUCAGACACCAGCUGUAAGCGAGAAACCCAACUAACACCCCCAGGAAAAAAAAACUCAAACUUUUUUGGGGUUAGCACAACUAAUACUAUCCACUGUCCACUGCUAAAAUAGAUGCACCUUUUCUACUCAAAAGAGCAAGCAACUUAUUCCCAUGAUUUAAAUGCCAUCUGAAAGUCACCACAGCACAUUCAUAACUUAUAAAGAAAGACCCUACCCAUGUUAAUUAACUCUAGAUCAGUUUGUCCCUUUCUUCUUAAAUUGUUGCUUCAGCUCAUUGAGGUUUGCAGGCACAGCAUUUCAGUCAGUUGCGGUCUAGACUUUGACUAGUACAUCGCAACACCUUGAUUCUUUUCCUUUCCAGCCGUUCUGUUUUGGAUUUGCGGCUGUGCUUGGCAUCAUUGUUUUGUUGCAUGACCUAAUUUGGACCAUGCUUUAGCUGUUGGACACAUGGCCUCACAUUUGACUUUAGAAUACUUUGGUAUUCAGUUCAUGGUCAAUUCAAGAUGACUGCAAAGUCCUUUGACUACAAAACAAGCCCUCCACCAGCAUGCUUGAAGUUGGUAUGAGGUGUUUGUGCUGAUAUGCUGUGUUUGGCUUUUGCCAAAGGUGGCACGUGCAUCUACACUUUGGUCUCAUCAGUCCAAAGACCUGUUGCAGAAGUUUUGUGAGCUGUUCAGAUGUAAAUUUGCAAAACUAUUGCGCGCUGCCGUGUUCUAUUCAGACCUACGAGGCUGUUGCCUGGCAACCAAUCCAAACAAGCCAUAUUUGUUCAGUCUUCUUCUGAUUGUACUGUUAUGAACCCUCACAUUUAGCAUGCUAACUGAGACCUGUCUGAGAUGUACUUCUCAGAGCAUUGCAUGAUCUGACCCUGGGGUGAAUUUGCUGAGAUGUCCACUCCAUGUAAGAUUGUGGUGCUGGUUUCACACAUGCCUGAAUGCUUCAGUAAACUGCCAACACUUCUGCAAGGUGCUCAUUUUGGAUGACGAUCAGGUAAUCAAGUGCAUUUGGUUAGCAGCACCUGGACGCUGGAUGCUACUUACCCUCUUAAUUCACGUUAAAGGAGUAAGGGUGUGCUUAGUUCUUCAUAGGACUACAUAGAGUCCUGUGAAAACCUUUGUUUUCACAUGACUGUAUGCAUGAUCAUUGAGGAAGAGAAAUUAAGGGGUAAUGUACAAAUCAAUCUUGGACUUAGCUCCACUUAAACACUGUAUAUAAAAGAUAUACAUAGUUUCUGAUCUGAAAAGUUACACCUUUAAACCUGCAUCCUUCCAGCAGUGGGUGAUUUUGGUUACCAAAUGAAAAAUUACCCUGCAUCCUUACUUGAUUGUAUAGCUCAGUAAACUUUUCCAUAACAAAUGAAUGGUCUCAACAGCUAGUUUAAAAUCUCCUUUUUCAAAUCUCCUUCAAUACAGCGUGGGGUAAUUUUGUAGAUGGUAGAUGCUCCCAAAUGGUAACAAAAAGCCAAUUAAAAGAGAUUUAAGAGUGUCUCUGCUGAUGCCAUGCACAAUGGAAGAGAAAGGACUGUGCACAGCUGAAAAACAUUAAAAAAUGAUUGUGAAUGUCGGUGACAAAGCACCAGAGACAGCUCAGAAAACAAAGUUUGUGAAAACACAUUUUGUUUGCUCGAUGAGAAUUUAAUGAGCAGUGUCUUUCGGAAGUCUCGGCUUAAUUUACAAUACAAUGAGCAUUUAGUGUCUUCUGUUAGUACAAAGAGCAAAAACUGUGAGAAUUACCACAUAAUUGAAACCAUAAACAGUGAGCAUGCUGUAUGGAAUUACAACCUUUCCAGCCACAGGUGUAGCUAACACCAUUAACA
rnacentral:lncRNA from 1 species